rnacentral:lncRNA from 1 species
CACUGUUAUUCAGACAGUGAGUUUUGUCAACUUCAGACUCAUCAGUUGAUUCUGAAAUUUAAAGGGGAAAAUGUUAUAAUGCUAUGACACUGACAAUUACACGGAAAAGCAAGUAUGAAAAAUGGAAACCAUACCGAUUAAGAGGCGGGUUCUGAGACUCAGCUUAGGCCUAGGUUACACAGAUGAUUAGACGAAGAUCCAGCACUGCAGCAGGAUUCUCCUGGGCUCCAUUCCAGUGAUCUUUCCUUACCUUGUGCUGCCUCCUGGUGAGCUCAGCUGUGAGCACACAAAGAACUUAAAAUGAGAUAAGGAAAUGGAGGCUCAGUGAGGCACUGUGCUAGACUCAGGCAAUACAAGGAUGGACAAGAAAGAAAGCAUCCCUGCCUUCAUGAAACUCACAGUCUGAAGUCAAUAAACAAACAGCUGUUGCCACUUUACAGAAAGAAAAGUGUGGCUCAGACCAUAAUUUCAGGAAGAAGCAUGCAAUUUUUGGUAAUUCAAUGAAAUAUAAAGAUGAAUCAGAAGUCCGGUAUAGAAUGCAUCAUCCAUUGGUUCUGGAUUUAACAUACAAAAUCCGUAAAAGAACUGAAAUGUUCUGAAGCUUGAAUCUCUCUCAUGCAGUUAUUCUGUUGGAUGAAGUGGCAUUUCAAAUUUGCUCACUCAGAUUUGGGACAUUAGUCUCAUUCUGAAGCACACCAAUGCUUCCAGAACUACCAGCAUGCUGUAAUGAAAGGUACCGCCAUGAGACUUGAAGAAGUAUCUGACUUUGUCCCAAAAUCUAUCUGAAUAAGAAAAACGGACAAACAAAAAGAUAAGGAGAAGAAAGAGGAAACAAAAGCUAAAAGGUUCACCUUAACUUUCCCAGCAUUUUCGUCAUCUUCUUUUUUGUCUUCAAAUUCAAAGGCAACAGUCAUGCGUUGUUGUCUCUGCUCUUCCCACAGUGUAGGGUUAAAGCUGUCACUGUCUGACUGGAAAUCUACAGUUAGAUUCCAAAGUAUUAUUGUUUUUUUAAAAAACAAUUUUACACAAAGUAUUUAAUAUAGUAUGCAAAAAUGGUGAUAGAUACUACAAACAAAUACGGAAAUAAAGAAGAAAGAAAGAAAAAAAGAAAGAGAAAGAAGGAAAGAGAAAAGAAUAAAAUUCCCUUGAUAUUUAUUA